rnacentral:rRNA from 1 species
UACAAUGGUCGGAACAGAGGGUUGCCAACCCGCGAGGGGGAGCUAAUCCCAGAAAACCGAUCGUAGUCCGGAUUGCACUCUGCAACUCGAGUGCAUGAAGCUGGAAUCGCUAGUAAUCGCGGAUCAGCAUGCCGCGGUGAAUACGUUCCCGGGUCUUGUACACACCGCCCGUCACACCAUGGGAGUGGGUUUUACCAGAAGUGGCUAGUCUAACCGCAAGGAGGACGGUCACCACGGUAGGAUUCAUGACUGGGGUGAAGUCGUAACAAGGUAGCCGUAUCGGAAGGUGCGGUUGGAUCACCUCC